rnacentral:rRNA from 1 species
ACGGGAGGCAGCAGUGAGGAAUAUUGGUCAAUGGGCGAGAGCCUGAACCAGCCAUGUCGCGUGCAGGAUUACGGCCCUACGGGUCUUAAACUGCUUUUGAUUGGGGAUAAAGUGGGGGACGCGUCCCCUAUUGCAGGUACCAAUCGAAUAAGGAUCGGCUAACUCCGUGCCAGCAGCCGCGGUGAUACGGAGGAUCCGAGCGUUAUCCGGAUUUAUUGGGUUUAAAGGGUGCGUAGGCGGCCCCUUAAGUCGGCGGUGAAAUUUCCGGGCUCAACCCGGUCACUGCCGUCGAAACUGGGGGGCUUGAGUGCGUUUGGGGUGGCUGGAGUGUGCGGUGUAGCGGUGAAAUGCAUAGAUAUCGCACAGAACGCCGAUCGCGGAGGCAGGUCACCAAGCCGCAGCUGACGCUGAGGCACGAAAGCGCGGGGAUCGAACAGGAUUAGAUACCCUGGUA